rnacentral:rRNA from 1 species
UGGGGAAUUUUGGACAAUGGGCGCAAGCCUGAUCCAGCAAUGCCGCGUGCAGGAAGAAGGCCUUCGGGUUGUAAACUGCUUUUGUCAGGGAAGAAAUCCUCUGGGCUAAUAACUCGGGGGGAUGACGGUACCUGAAGAAUAAGCACCGGCUAACUACGUGCCAGCAGCCGCGGUAAUACGUAGGGUGCGAGCGUUAAUCGGAAUUACUGGGCGUAAAGCGUGCGCAGGCGGCUUUGCAAGACAGAUGUGAAAUCCCCGGGCUCAACCUGGGAACUGCAUUUGUGACUGCAAGGCUAGAGUACGGCAGAGGGGGAUGGAAUUCCGCGUGUAGCAGUGAAAUGCGUAGAUAUGCGGAGGAACACCAAUGGCGAAGGCAAUCCCCUGGGCCUGUACUGACGCUCAUGCACGAAAGCGUGGGGAGCAAACAGGAUUAGAUACCCGCGUAGUCC